rnacentral:misc_RNA from 1 species
AACGCACAUUGCGCCCGCUAGUAUUCUGGCGGGCAUGCCUGUUCGAGCGUCAUUUCAACCAUCAAGCGCCUGCGCUUGUGUUGGAGCCCUGCGGCUGCCGCAGGCUCCCAAACCCAGUGGCGGGCUCGUCGUCGUACCGAGUGCAGUAAACUUACCACGCUCAGGGCGCGCGACGGGUGACCGGCCGUAAAACACCCCAUUUAUCAAGGUUGACCUCGGAUCAGGUAGGAAUACCCGCUGAACUUAA